AUGGCUCCAGCUUGCUGGUUCUUGGUCUUUGUCUGGGUAUGGUGGCUGCCACUGAUGCUCGCGGGGGCCAAGGAGGAGCAUCGAGUGGAAUACUGCCCGGCUGAGAGGUGCGGCAACCUCACAGUAUCCAAUCCAUUCUGGAUCGCUGACGGGGAGGCGGGAAGAUCGUGUGGCCCCUCGGACUUCCAGGUCAGUUGCUUAAACGACAGCAAUCCAUUUCUCCUGAGCUCUGGAUUCACUGGCUUCGGAAUCAUGGACAUCUGGUACGAGGACCGCAAUCUGCGUGUCGUUGAUGUACAUAAAGAGGAAGACUUCAACGUCUCAAAGAGCAGCUGCAAUUUCCCGAGUUGGAACACCUCCAGCAAGCUGGCACUGCCGUUCAAGGUCAACCCCACCAACCUGAACCUCAUCUUCUACAAGUGCACCAAGACGGUGGCGCUGCUGGAGGUGAGAUGCGUGAACGCGAGCAACAUGUUUGUUCGUGCGGGAGUGCGUUUCGAUGAGACGGGGAACUACCAUGACUACGUCUUGGAGGGCUGCGAUGCUAUCGUUGUGCCGGUGAUGGGUUCAUCGGGCUGGGCCAACGCGAGCGACUACGAGCAGCUCAUCAGCCGUGGUUUCCUCUUGGCAUGGGAUGAAACUCUUCAACCUGCAACUGCACGUAGCGAGAGGAGAGGGAAGAAGAUUAUGCUAAUAGGUAUGACAUCAGCAGCUGCGACCAUUCUCUUUGCAUGUCUUUAUGUGCUGAUAUGGCAUAAAAAAGGGAAAAGACUAUGGUUUCUCCUUUGUAAGAAGGCUAGGAGCAACACUGAGAAGAAUUACGAGGCCAUGAUAAUAUCAUAUGGACCCCUAGCUCCAAAAAGAUACAUGUACUCAGAGGUAAUGAAGAUAACUUCUUCUCGCCGUGAUCAGCUUGGAAAAGGUGGCUAUGGUGUGGUUUUCAAAGGAAGACUACACGAUGAUCGUCUGGUUGCUGUGAAAUUCUUGCAUGAUUGCAAAGGAAAUGGGGACGAGUUUGUGAAUGAGGUUAUGAGCAUUGGCAGGACCUCUCAUGUUAAUAUUGUUAGCUUAUUUGGAUUUUGUUUGGAGGGAUCAAAACGAGCUCUUAUAUAUGAGUACAUACCCAAUGGUUCCUUGGAUAAGUACAUUUACUCAGAGAACCCUAAAGAAAUUUUAGGAUGGAAGAGGCUCCUUGCGAUAGCAGUGGGGAUUGCUCGUGGCCUCGAAUACUUGCAUCAUGGCUGUAAUAUACGCAUCGUCCAUUUUGAUAUCAAGCCCCAAAAUAUCCUUCUAGAGAGGGAUUUUAGCCCAAAGAUUGCUGAUUUUGGUCUAGCUAAAUUGUGUCAUACAAAGGAAAGCAAGCUUUCAAUGACUGGAGCCAGAGGAACAAUUGGGUUCAUUGCUCCAGAAGUUCACUCCCGAAGCUUCGGAGUGGUUUCAACAAAGUCAGAUGUUUAUAGUUAUGGAAUGAUGUUGCUGGAGAUGGUUGGAGGCAGGAGAAAUGUAAAAUCAAUUGUUGCAAAAUCCAGCGAAAAGUAUUUUCCUGACUGGAUUUACGACCACUUUGCGCAAGAUGAUGGAUUACAAGCAUGUGAUGUCACAUCAGAAACUGAGGAAAUCGCGAGAAAGAUGACCUUAAUUGGCUUGUGGUGCGUACAAAUAUUGCCUGCAUAUCGCCCUACCAUAACCAAAGUUCUAGAAAUGUUUGAGAGAAGCGCAGAUGACAUGGACAUGCCACCGAAGCAAAACUUCUCUGGAUUGCUUGAAAGUUCAGCUCACAAUAUGGAUGUACAAAGUUCGAGUUCAACUAGACCUGAGGAGAUCAGCUUUGUGCAUUAA
rnacentral:rRNA from 1 species